rnacentral:rRNA from 1 species
UACGUAGGGGGCUAGCGUUGUCCGGAAUCAUUGGGCGUAAAGAGCGUGUAGGCGGCCCGGUAAGUCCGCUGUGAAAGUCGGGGGCUCAACCCUCGAAUGCCGGUGGAUACUGUCGGGCUAGAGUGCGGAAGAGGCGAGUGGAAUUCCUGGUGUAGCGGUGAAAUGCGCAGAUAUCAGGAGGAACACCGGUGGUGUAGACGGCUUUCUGGACCGUAACUGACGCUGAGACACGAAAGCGUGGGUAGCAAACAGG